rnacentral:misc_RNA from 1 species
UACGGAGGGGGCUAGCGUUGUUCGGAAUCACUGGGCGUAAAGCGCGCGUAGGCGGAUUGUUAAGUCGGGGGUGAAAGCCCGGGGCUCAACCCCGGAACUGCCUUCGAUACUGGCAAUCUUGAGUCCGGGAGAGGUGAGUGGAAUUCCUAGUGUAGAGGUGAAAUUCGUAGAUAUUAGGAGGAACACCAGUGGCGAAGGCGGCUCACUGGCCCGGUACUGACGCUGAGGUGCGAAAGCGUGGGGAGCAAACAGG